rnacentral:rRNA from 1 species
GACGAACGCUGGCGGCGUGCCUAAUACAUGCAAGUCGAGCGAAGCGGGGACGGGUGAGUAACACGUGGAUAACCUCCUAUAAGACUGGGAUAACUUCGGGAAACCGGAGCUAAACCGGAUAUUUAUAGAUGGAUUCCAUCCGCAUUAGCUAGUUGGUAAGGUAACGGCUUACAAAGGCAACGAUGCGUAGCCGACCGGAGAGGUGGAUCGGCCACACUGGAACUGAGAAACGGUCCAGCCUCGUAAGGGAGGCAGAAGUGGGGAAUCUCCGGCAAGGGGCGAAAGCCUGACGGAGCAACGCCGCGUGAGUGAUGAAGGUCUUCGGAUCGUAAAACUCUGUUAUUAGGGAAGCGGUACCUAAUCAGAAAGCCACGGCUAACUACGUGCCAGCAGCCGCGGUAAUAC